UCUGAUAUGGCAGAUAAGUGCAAUGGAUUUAAGCUCCAUAUAUAAAGAUUUUUCUUUUAUUAGAA
rnacentral:tRNA from 1 species